GUCGCAGUGGCUCAGUCGGGUAGAGGUUUGGCUUGGGAUCUGAUGGUCCGGGGUUCGAGCCCCGGCUGUGGUG